UACGGAGGGUGCAAGCGUUAUCCGGAUUCACUGGGUUUAAAGGGUGCGUAGGCGGGCAGGUAAGUCAGUGGUGAAAUCUCCGAGCUUAACUCGGAACUGCCGUUGAUACUACUUGUCUUUGAAUAUUGUGGAGGUUAAGCGGAAUAUGUCAUGUAGCGGUGAAAAUGCUUUAGAUAUGACAUAGAACACCAAUUGCGAAGGCAGCUUACUACACAAUCAUUGACGCUGAGGCACGAAAGCGUGGGGAUCAAACAGG
rnacentral:rRNA from 1 species